rnacentral:pre_miRNA from 1 species
ACGUGAUGAUGAUGAUGAUGAUGAUGAUGAUGAUGAUGGUUAACAUUUAACCGGCACUUGCUAUAUGUCCAGUAUCAUUCAAAACUCGUCUAUCUAUCAUCUAUCUAUCUAUCAUCUAUCUAUCUAUCUAUCAUCACCAUUAUCAUCAUCAUCAUCAUCAUCAUCAUCAUCAUCA